GGCCCCGUCGCCAAGUGGUAAGGCAGAGGUCUGCAACACCUUUAUCACCAGUUCGAAUCUGGUCGGGGCCUCCA
rnacentral:tRNA from 1 species